CCGAGAAAGCAGGGUAAAUCAAGCCCAUUUCUGAAAGAGAGGUUACUUAUACUCAGAGUCAGUUACCAUGGUAACUUACUCUGUGAACCUAACCUGGGGUGCAAUUCCUAAA